rnacentral:rRNA from 1 species
GUGAGGAAUAUUGGUCAAUGGGCGCAAGCCUGAACCAGCCAUCCCGCGUGAAGGAAGAAGGCCCUACGGGUUGUAAACUUCUUUUCUGUUUGAAGAAUAAGCUUGUCGAGACAAGUGAUGCCGGUAGGACAGGAAUAAGCAUCGGCUAACUCCGUGCCAGCAGCCGCGGUAAUACGGAGGAUGCAAGCGUUAUCCGGAUUUAUUGGGUUUAAAGGGUGCGCAGGUGGUUGAAUAAGUCAGUGGUGAAAGUCUGGCGCUUAACGUUAGGAUUGCCAUUGAUACUGUUUGACUUGAAUAUGGAUGAGGUAGGCGGAAGGUGUAGUGUAGCGGUGAAAUGCUUAGAUAUUACACAGAACACCGAUUGCGAAGGCAGCUUACUAAUCCAUUAUUGACGCUGGGGCACGCAAGCGUGGGGAUCAAACAGGAUUAGAUACCCCGGUAGUCC